AUGAUACUUCAUUCAGUCAUUUUGCUCUCUGCCUUGGCAAGUGUGAGUUUUGGAGAUCAAAUCACACCAAACAACACUGAGAAAUUUGCUGCAGUGGGUUUGACUGUUACUUUAUCCUGCAGUUAUUCCUCUGCACAAUCACUUCAAUGGUACCGUCAGUAUCCUGGAUCAGCUCCUCAAUUUCUUGUGCUUAUAAUGGAGAGUGUGAAAGAGAAUAAGACAUCUGAUGUAGAUCCCAGGUUCUCUACUAAGCUCAGAAAAGAAAAACAAUCCACAAAAGAGAUCAACCAUGUGGAUCUGAUCAUCUCCUCUACUGCUGUAUCAGACUCUGCUCUGUACUACUGUGCUCUGAGGCCCACAGUCACAGGAAACACAAGAACACUGUACAAAAACCUGACUGUAAAAAGAAACAAUGGCCUUCUAGAGACAGGGAAAAAUGUGACACUUAAAUCUUGGGUUUACAAUUGA